CGGGGCGUGGCGCAGUCUGGUAGCGCAUCUGGUUUGGGACCAGAGGGUCGCAUGUUCGAAUCAUGUCGCCCCGACCA
rnacentral:tRNA from 1 species